UUGUGAGAAUUGACGUGUCUAUCAUUUUUCAAAGCAGAAAUCCUAUUCCAAACAAACACUUUCCUUCCAACUAACGUCGUCGUUCCGUAUGUCCAAUCUAUAAAUACACGCAGUUUGCAGACCUUUCAACCACGCAAAACCUACUCAGGCGGCUGUAGGUACUCCAUCCCAGGAAUCAAGCUUAGAUAUGAAUUGAAGCUGAUUCGUGUUCAAUUCGAUGAACUUCUGUGUCACACAAGUGAAGAAGCAUCAUGGCUUGGUAUUCAACUAACGGAUUGCGGUCAUGUUCUCAAGGCCAUCUUCCAAGCUGUCCAGAACGGGAGUUUGAGUUCGAUUUCGAGAUGCUGAGGGAGAAUUCAAGACUUGUGCAUAUCAAAGAUGAAAAAUCAAUAUUCAUAUUUUCUCUAGCUGUUAUGCAUCGUCUAGCUAAAAUCUUUUCUUUAAACUUAAAAAGAGAUUUUAGGUUGACGAUACAGGACGGCAAGAGGAAAAUAGGUGUUUAGCCUUUAUCUUUGUGCAUAAUUCGAGGAACACUGGUAUUUUUAUAAAGAUGGCGACGAGAUCAGCACCAUUGCAUAUAGCAAAGAUGUCAGCAGCUUUCACCAUGGCAUCCCCGGUGCAACUAAGGUUCUCUCUCAUUUCAAGUUUCUUAUGUAUAACUUCUUUGUUUUAUAUAGGAAGGAACUGGAUUCCACGAAGAAUUGGAGAUUUGCGAACUCACAAGAAUCAAAGCCCCAAUGCACAUGAAGCCCCAACGCAACACCCUACUCCCUGUUUGAGAAAAAUACAACCGUAAAGGAAAACCUUAUCUGCCGUGUUCAAGAUCAAUCAAGACGUCAUUUUUAACCGCUGCAAAAAUUGUAUCAAAUAAGAAUAAUUUACAGUUAUUAAAGUAGUUGAUUACGAGGAAUUAUUGUGCUUGU